AAGUCGUAACAAGGUUUCCGUGGGUGAACUUGCGGAAGGAUCAUUAAAGAAUUAGGCUUCGCGGCCAAGUUCUCACCCUUUGUAUACCGAAACCAUGUUUCUUUGGCAGGCCCCUGCAUUUCCGGCUGGCCAGCAGGUGUUAAUACCCUAGAAUCUCUGCUGUCUGAGUACUAUAUAAUAGUUAAAA
rnacentral:misc_RNA from 1 species